GACGAACGCUGGCGGCGUGCUUAACACAUGCAAGUCGAACGGAAAGGCCCUGCUUUUGUGGGGUGCUCGAGUGGCGAACGGGUGAGUAACACGUGAGUAACCUGCCCUUGACUUUGGGAUAACUUCAGGAAACUGGGGCUAAUACCGGAUAGGAGCUCCUGCUGCAUGGUGGGGGUUGGAAAGUUUCGGCGGUUGGGGAUGGACUCGCGGCUUAUCAGCUUGUUGGUGGGGUAGUGGCUUACCAAGGCUUUGACGGGUAGCCGGCCUGAGGGGGUGACCGGCCACAUUGGGACUGAGAUACGGCCCAGACUCCUACGGGAGGCAGCUGUGGGGAAUAUUGCACAAUGGGCGGAAGCCUGAUGCAGCAACGCCGCGUGCGGGAUGACGGCCUUCGGGUUGUAAACCGCUUUCGCCUGUGACGAAGCGUGAGUGACGGUAAUGGGUAAAGAAGCACCGGCUAACUACGUGCCAGCAGCCGCGGUGAUACGUAGGGUGCGAGCGUUGUCCGGAUUUAUUGGGCGUAAAGGGCUCGUAGGUGGUUGAUCGCGUCGGAAGUGUAAUCUUGGGGCUUAACCCUGAGCGUGCUUUCGAUACGGGUUGACUUGAGGAAGGUAGGGGAGAAUGGAAUUCCUGGUGGAGCGGUGGAAUGCGCAGAUAUCAGGAGGAACACCAGUGGCGAAGGCGGUUCUCUGGGCCUUUCCUGACGCUGAGGAGCGAAAGCGUGGGGAGCGAACAGGCUUAGAUACCCUGGUAGUCCACGCUGUAAACGGUGGGUACUAGGUGUGGGGUCCAUUCCACGGGUUCCGUGCCGUAGCUAACGCUUUAAGUACCCCGCCUGGGGAGUACGGCCGCAAGGCUAAAACUCAAAGGAAUUGACGGGGCCCCGCACAAGCGGCGGAGCAUGCGGAUUAAUUCGAUGCAACGCGUAGAACCUUACCUGGGUUUGACAUGGAUCGGGAGUGCUCAGAGAUGGGUGUGCCUCUUUUGGGGUCGGUUCACAGGUGGUGCAUGCCUGUCGUCAGCUCGUGUCGUGAGAUGUUGGGUUAAGUCCCGCAACGAGCGCAACCCUUGUUCACUGUUGCCAGCACGUUAUGGUGGGGACUCAGUGGAGACCGCCGGGGUCAACUCGGAGGAAGGUGGGGAUGACGUCAAGUCAUCAUGCCCCUUAUGUCCAGGGCUUCACGCAUGCUACAAUGGCUGGUACAGAGAGUGGCGAGCCUGUGAGGGUGAGCGAAUCUCGGAAAGCCGGUCUCAGUUCGGAUUGGGGUCUGCAACUCGACCUCAUGAAGUCGGAGUCGCUAGUAAUCGCAGAUCAGCAACGCUGCGGUGAAUACGUUCCCGGG
rnacentral:rRNA from 1 species